CAUCAGCAACAUGGUUCUAACUAAAAAUAUUCUAUUCAUAGGGUUUUGUCUGUGGUUGAUUUUUGAUCUAACCUACAGCAAUGUGCAAAUAAUCCGACUGAAAGGCGAUAAAAAAUCGCAAAAUAUAUUUAUUAAUAUAUCGGGCAGCAAUACAGGCUCUAUUUGUAUAAGGUGUCGUCAACAGAUUAAAAUAUUACUUAAACGACAUCGAAAUUUGUCAGAUUUAAAAACUAAUUCUUAAGCUUCAUGUUCAUUAUUACCCCCAUCCUUCAAAUAAGUCUUACGAAAUAUGCUUAGAUAAGUUCAACUUCAA